rnacentral:rRNA from 1 species
GUCAAGUCAUCAUGGCCCUUAUGUCCAGGGCUACACACGUGCUACAAUGGACGGUACAGAGCGGAGCGAAGCCGCGAGGCUCGAGCGAAUCGCUUAAAGCCGUCCGUAGUUCGGAUUGAAGUCUGAAACCCGACUUCAUGAAGUUGGAAUCGCUAGUAAUCGCGCAUCAGCACGGCGCGGUGAAUACGUUCCCGGGCCUUGUACACACCGCCCGUCACACCAUCCGAGUCGGAGGUACCCGAAGCCGGCAGUCUAACCGCGAGGGGGACGUCGCCGAAGGUACGUUUGGUGAGGAGGGUGAAGUCGUAACAAGGUAACCAAGGGCGAAUUCGCGGCC